CACCACGCCCCACUCCCAUCUCCCCUCGGGCUCCCAGUAGCCCGAAUUUUGUCGAGGAGCUGCCGCCGUUUUCUCCGACGCCGGCGACGAUUUCCGUCGCGGUAAAGGAGCUCGGAAGCAUCCGCGGCAACGGGAGACGAACACGCCGGCGCCGCGGACGUUGCUCUCGUCGCUUUCCAACCUCGCCGGAACCAGCUGACCACCGGUGGAGCUCCGUCACGUCUACAAGCAUCGCCUCCAAGCCUCGCCCAAACCAUCCGACGUCUGCAGCUCCGUUUCCGUCCACGACCGGAGUUGCAAAAUCCCUUGCCGGACACACAUCAUUGUCCGGACUGCGAGGGCGAUACUCAGGAAGAAGUAGGAGGUCACUGCUCAGG